CUUUGCCCGAUCACUCCAGUGGAAAGCAGAUGUCGUGAGGUCCAGGCGCUUGAGGAGGAGGCAGCGACGGCAGUAGUACUGAUCUGCCAAGCUUCCGGAGAGAGACUCCAACGCUUUCUGGAAGAAAAGGGCUAGGGCUCCUUUUGGAAAGAAGAGCCAAGGAAGACGGGGUGGCUCCGGUCUCUACCUUGGGGCGUCACCGAGCUGGAGUCCAGCAGGGGGCGCAAGCACAAGAGGCGGGCAGCCUGGAGCUCAGAGCAGAGAAAGCCUGGAAACAGGAAAGGGAUCCGUGCAGGUGCAGCGGAGGUGGACUGUGCACCGCCACCUUCCAGCCCUGCCCACCUGGAACACUGGCUCCGCCUCCAGAAGAAGCUUCACCCACUAGAGGCCGGGUGUCCCCCGAUUUCGACUCCCGCCCACUUCAAAACAACCUGCGCUGCUCCAUCUAACUCAACCCACUGGCGCUUCCAGAGUCUUUCGUCAAAAUUCUAGCCCUGCCCACGUCGGGGCUCUCGGCCCGCCCCAGCGCUGACCCCACCCACUUCGGACCCUCUGGCCCGCCCUAAAAUUCUGACCACGCCUCCCUGGGAACCCGGGCCCGCCCUCUCCGGAGCCCUAGCCUCGCCCACUCUCGCAUCCCGGGGCCGCCGCGGCUCACGCAGCAGGCGCAGGCCGGCGCCGGGUUCCUGCAACGCGGCCUCGCGGCCUUCCCCGCAGAGCGCGCGAUCCGGGCAGUGCAACGCCCGCAGCAGUCCCGCCAACUGCCGCAGGAAUCCCUCGUCCGCGCCGGGGCCUGCAGGAGGAGGGAGGAGUCAGGGCGCGGCCGAGCCCGCGGCUCCCCGCCUCCCGCCCCGCGGCUCUGUCCGCACCGUUGCCGACGCUUAGCACUUCUGCACCCUCCUCUCGCGGCUCCUCCAGAGUGCCCAGUGUCACCAGCUCCGCUGCCAGCCGCGCGCACAGCGCCCUGAAGCCUGGGCAUGAGGGGCCCCUUGAUGCCACCUCCGGAAAGUCCCCAUACCUGCGGCGGGGGGUGGGUCAGCGAUUCCCUCUCCGUCAGAGUCCUGAGUUAAAACGCUCUCCUGUCCCCCAGCCACACCACACACCGCCUUACCCCAGAGCUCGCAGGUCCCGGGCCACUGCGGCCCCCUCCUGCGCUUCUGCCUCCGCCCCCUCCAUGGAAAAGUCGCCUUGGUGCCGGACUCGCGCCCCCUUCCGGCCGGUGGCAGGCUCCGCCCCAGGAGCGCCGCGCGCACCGCCACCCGACCGCGCAGGGUGGCGGCCCCGGCCCGUCAGCCUCUUGUCGAGAAAGGACUUCAGCUCCAAUUGGCGCAGAAGGAGGCAGAACCCGCCCCCAAGUCCGCCCUCACCGCCCUUCAGGUAACCUGUCAGGGCUGUAAAUUCCAGAGCGUUGGCUCAGGAUCCCAGCUGUCGCGACAAGCUAGUAAGUGUCUCUACUGUGGCUACAUAAAAGCAGUUUGGGCUUCCUUUUUCUCAGUCUCCCUUGGUGGCCUUUUGAUCUUAAUGCACUGCAGUCCAGAUUUUUCACACUUCACACAACUCCCGUCUCAAAUCCAGAACCUUGCUUCCUCCUCUUCCUUAUGAAUGAAGUCAAAGAUCUAGCCAUUUCAGCUAACCUCUCACACCCGCUCCCCCACCUAGGCCCUCCUCAGCUAUCCCAAUGUGCCCUUAGGCCCUCAACCCCCACUUCUCUGGGCCUUUGAAUGAUGGAGCUGGGGCAAUCCAUGGCCUUCGUGAAUAAGAGAUUGCACCCAAGGAGGCAGGCAGACAGGAUUAGGGUUUGACUCUGCCCCUCACCGGUUCCUGCCAAACUGCUUCCCAUCUGUAUAAUAGGGAUAAUAAUAGUACCUACUCUUAAGAGUUGUUUAUGAGAAUUAAUUAGUCCUUAUGUAAAAAGCACAUGAGGGUACUCAAUUAAGAAUAACAACUAUGGCAUUGAGUAAUUCAGUUGUGCUACUAGGCUAAGUAUCUUAUCCCCGUUUUACAUAGAAGAUUCAGAGAAUGUAAGUUACUUGGUGAAUUUAUGGUGGGUACCAAGACUCAAAGAUCUAAUUCCAGAUUCCAUGCUUUUAAACUCCUGAGCCUGUUAUUGCUGCUGCUGAUUUUGUUCCUGUCGUUAAACAUCAUAGUUCCAGUUCUUAUCUCUGAUUGUCCUCCUUCUCUGGAAGUAGAUGUGAGUUGGGAGCCCCAGGAUAGAACAAGGGUCAGAAAUGGUCCCUGCAGAGACCUGCCUACCCCAAGACAGGGCACUUAGGGGAGACAUCUGUUGCACUAAAUAAAACAUUAAAAAUUG